rnacentral:piRNA from 1 species
UAGCACAGUGGGGCUUGUGGGCUCA